ACGAAAGCGCUCCACAGCGGAAAAUAAAGGAAUUACAUCGUUUUUUAAAAACCCGAAUGCACUUUUUUCACGGAAUCUGGCAUCGAUGUGCAAAAUUUCUGACUUCUAUUUAGUUUCUCGAUGAUCUGGGUAGGUUGCAGGUCCACUGAUUCUCCAGCUCUAAAAAGAUAGCGUUUUAAACUUCAGCCACAGAUAAAGACCACUUUAUUGUCUUCUUAAUCUAUGCUUCAGCCAAUAGUUGGCGUUUAUCAGAAAGAGUUUUUUUUUUCCAAUUUUGCGUUUUCCAUGCAAUAUAAUUCUUUAUAAUAUUGGACACAUUGCCACUCAAAAGUGGUAAUUAAACGUGGUAAUCGUGGAGGAAUCUUUUGGCUCCGUCAGUAGGUGGCUACCCAGCCGCCAGAUGACGCGAGUGUCUUUGAGAGGACGAAAUUUUCGCCAUUUUGUUCCGAAACGCCAAGUGAAAAGGUGAAAAGGUAUUCCAAAUUCGUUACGGAAUUGCGGUGUCGAUCUACAUUUUCAGCAUUGAAAUUUAAUGGCAAUCUGGCAUAUUAUUUCCACUUGGCCAAAUAAUCGAUCACGUGGACUGAAACUGCGUUCCAUUUUGCCGAAAUGUCGUCGGUUGUUAGCUGUACCUGUUCAAGUGCACGUCUCAUCUCAUGCAGAAACACUACAUAGUUGGUGUUCAGGUUGGAGAUCCCGUUGCUCAACUGUUGCAGAAUGUGAGAACUCAACAAAUUCUUAGCUCCAUGGCUGGCAUCAUGGCCACAGUGGUUUUGUUGCAGCCAGCUGGUGAAAGGUGUGAUCGAGUCAAGUUGAGCUGCAGCUGCUGCAUGCAUUUUAUUGAGCUGGUGUUAUCCUGUGAAGUGUCAUUGCAGGAAGACUUUUUGAAAUGGACUUGGUGAUACUUAAAGCUAUGCCUAUGCUGUUCAAUGUACAGUGGUUUUGCAGCUUGUUUCCAGUUGAGAGAUGUCAUUAUGCAGCUGAUACAGGAUUGAAGAAAAAGAACUGAAGUAGCUGUGCUGGAGUUCUCCUGAAGUUGCUGUGCCACAGGAGUUGCAAAUAGUGUUUGGUUCUUCAUAUAAGUUUAUUUAAAGAGUAAGGAGAUGAUCAUCCACUUCUGACUAUAAUUUAUGUAAAACUUCAAAGUUGUAAGAAAUAUACAAGUCAAGUGCU
rnacentral:lncRNA from 1 species